rnacentral:rRNA from 1 species
UGGCGUAAACAAAGGGAGGCAAAGGAGUAAUCUGGAGCGAACCCCAAAAUAACGUCUCAGUUCGGACUGUGGUCUGCAACCCGACCACACGAAGCUGGAAUCGCUAGUAAUCGUGAAUCAGAAUGUCACGGUGAAUACGUUCCCGGGUCUUGUACACACCGCCCGUCACACCAUGGGAGUCAGCAACGCCCGAAGUCAGUGACCUAACCGAGAGGGAGGAGCUGCCGAAGGCGGGGCCGGUAACUGGGGUGAAGUCGUAACAAGGUAAC